rnacentral:lncRNA from 1 species
UCAGUUGAACAACCAUAUAUCACUGUACAUAAAUUACAACAUGCUAAUCUCUCUCCAUCUUUUUCAAUAGAUCUUGUAUAUUUAGGAACCAAUGACAUUGAAUUAUUGCAAAAGAAUUCUCUCUAACUAUAACACAAUUUACUAACCGUUUGCAUGCAUGUAGGUGACCCUCUCUACCUUCAUUAGGUAGGGGUCGUACACACUACCCUCCCCUGAUCCCAAUCGGAAGAAUAUACUGGAUAUGUUGUUGUUGCAUGUCCCCAUUUUAAACCGAGAGGUUGUGAGUUCGAGUCUCCCCAAGAGCAAGGUGGGAAGUUCUUGGAGGGAANNNNNNNNNNNNNNNNNNNNNNNNNNNNNNNNNNNNNNNNNNNNNNNNNNNNNNNNNNNNNNNNNNNNNNNNNNAAGGCGGGAAGUUCUUGGAGGGAAGGAUGCCGGGGGUCUAUUUGGAAACAGCCUCUCUACCCCAGGGUAGGGGUAAGGUCUGCGCAUACACUACCCUCCCCAGACCCCAGUAAAUGGGAUUAUACUGGGUUAUUGUUGUUGUUGUUGCAUGUAGGUGACAGAUCGACAUCGUCUCUAGAUUUCUGCUGAAAAUGAAGAAGAAUACUUUGGUGAUUUAUGUGUCAAGUAACUAAGGGAGCAAUCUAAAAAGUAACGAUCAUACAUACAAGCUCCACUCGCCAAUUUCAAGCGGCGUUCUUCUCUUCUUCGAGUAUAGCAGCCUCUCUAAGUGCGACUAGAGCCUCAUUUUCCCUCCCCAAUGUGAAAAGAGAAGCAGCUUGCAAAUACGAUGCGAUAUGCCAAACAGGAGAUAUUACCUGUGCUUGUACUGCAUCGUUGAGGGCUUUCUUGUGGCAUAUCACUCAUGAGAUAAGACAGACUCCGAUGAGCGUACACAGUUGGUGAAACCAUGGUUCCAACUUCAAUAAACUGCAAGACCAACCCAAAGUAAUUAAAUAAAGAUAUAAGUUCAAAAAUAGAUAAUCCACAUUAUAUGGUACGAUGUAGCAUAAACAUUAUGGCGGAUUUCCAACCUUCGUAUAGCAUUCAAUGGCAGCUCUAAAAUCUUUGUUCUUGAAAGCAGCAUCACCCUUUUUCUUUGAGUUCAAUGUUUCCAGCAUCUGAUCUGUCCACAUCUGAAAUGAAAGCUGCAAGCAAGAAUAAAAGUUUGAUUAUCAUGAGAUGCCAAUAAUUUGCUUUCAAAAACAUAGAAGCUUGGAUAUGAUCACAAUUAAAAGUUUGAUUAUCAUGAGAUGCUAAUAAUUCGCUUUCGAACACAUAUAAGCUUGGAUAUGAUCAUAAUAUGAAUGAUCAACAAGUUGAAACACACGAAUCACAUGCAUGGCGUGGCCAGGAUUUGAAGUACGGAUUCAGGAUUCUAAUACCUUUUAAGUUACUGAGUUCUGAAUUAAUAAUUUAUAAAUAUUUAGUGGAUUUUUUAAGAUAAAUAUAGUUUGAACCAAAGUGUAUCCCGACACUCUAGCUCCUCCCCAAAGCUACUGGGUUCUGAAUAAAUAAUUUAUGUUAUCGUGCUCAAGUACACUAUAGUAAGAAACGGCUUUAGUUCUAUAGAAUGGGAACAAGUUACAGAAGUUCAGAAAACAUGCAUUUACAAGACCAGAACAUCAGUUCCAAGAAUAAUAAUUGACAGACAAACCUCAGUAGCUGCUCCCUCAUCAUCUUUGUACCAAAGCGUGUCUAAAAUCUAAGGUUGUUUAGCGGGUAGGCCGGUCCGGGCUGGUUCAAUUUUUUUGACCUGUCCGGGUUCCGGGCCGGGCUGGGUUGCACAAUAACGGUUUUAUAGCGGGCCAGGUUAGUUCGGAUAAAAAUUGAACCAUAAGGGUUACGGUUGAAGGGGCGGGCCGGAUUUAGUAUAUUUUUACUUUUUUUUGGAAUUAUGUAUAGUAUAACUAUUGUAAGUUAUAUUAAUACUUUGUAAUAAGUGAAUGAAUACAAGUAAGAUGGGAAAAAAUUGCAAGUGCUACUUUAUUUCUUAAUUUCAAAUUGAAAAAGUUGAAAAUGAAAUGUUUAUAUUUUUUCUAACAAGUAAACUAGUAAAGUAGUAAUUUCAAAUGUUUUGCAUCGCCCUAGCAAGUUCAUCAUAAUUAAUAUGAACCGAUUGACCUUCUUCUAGCGAAAAGAACAGAAAAUUGCUUUUCAUUUUCAUGCCACCAUCCCAACGGUUAAAAUUCCUUUGUGCGAGGCUCCUUUUGCUUCUGCAAGUAGAAUUGAAGUUCAUCAAUAUUCCUGCUACUGGUUUGAGUGUUAGAAAAUGAAGAAAAAAUAUUAAGACUAUCAAGGCCUUCUUCAUCAUCCACAAUAGCAGAACUGCUACAUUGCAUAGCGGGAUUAACAUUGCCAGAAGCACGAGCAGCAUUAUCACAUUCAUUUGCAUAAUAAUUAUAUAGUUGUUAUAAAUAUUCAUAUAGCUUGUUCAUAGAAACAUAUAAAUUUGUGGUUUCAGUAUCUCCAAUCUCCAUAUAAGUAUAUAAAGCAUUCAUUAAUUGGUGACAAUCAGACAUUUUAAUAGAAUGAUUUAAAACUGCACCAAUUAAGUAAAUCGGAGGAAUUGAAAACAAAUAUUUUGUAAAUUUUGCUUGCAUUUUUUCAAUAACAUCCUUAUAUUUUUCUUUCUUCUUAAAUUCAGAUAGUAGAACAGAAAUUUCCGAUAAAUUAAAUUCAAGAAAAGAGAGUCAAAUAAAAUUAGAAGAUGAACUGAAAUUAUUGAAUAUUUUAAGUCUUGAAAGUUGGAGAAUAAGAAAAUGAGAUUAUGAGAGAAAUUGAGAUAGAUAAAUGAGAUUUGAGUGAGAAAUGAAGAAGAUAAGGGGGUAUUUAUAGUUUUUUGGAAGGUUAUAUUUGUAAAAUAAAAAAUGGUUAAAAUAAUUAAAAAAAAUGGGCUAUUGCAGCAAAGAGCCGUUGCCCAACGGAUUUGCUGAAGAACUGAACGUUGGCAACGGUCCACUAUGGUCCCCACGCAUCAGAUUUUCAAAAAAAUUAUAAAAAAAAAUCUGUUAUACCGGUCCGGUUACAGCAUCAAAAAAAAAAAGGACACAACCCCUACCCCCACGAACCCAGCCCACCAAGCCCCUAGGUAACCGGGCCGGUCCGGUCCCGGUUUAAACCGAUCCGGCCGGUCCGGACUGGUCCAACCCAGCCCCUUAGACACCCUUACUAAAAUCUCAUGGAUGGCAGUCAAGUCGGUUUUCAAACAAGCUUCACCAAGUGGAGACAGAGACAUAGUUUCACCAUCACGUGAUAUACCCCAUCAAUACAUGAGAAGGAACCUGAAAAACAAUUUACCGAAACUUCAAUCCAGCAAAAUUUUGUCAUCUAAUAGAUGAUUUAAGUCAUCUUACUAUCAGCCGAUGUAGAUAAGUGAAAUCAAGUUUAUGGAAAUUAGAUGUAAUCUAGAUGCUUCUCACCAAAUUUUAGUUAUUGCUUUCACUAAUUUUGGAUAACUACCGUAUUAUAGAAGUAUUUAGGAAAAAGAUAUUGCUGGAAGAAAAAUGCAUAGGCACACAACGCAUAUAAGGAAGGCACAAACCUCAGCUUCAUUUUGAAGACGAUUUAAUGCAGCAACUAAGGACUUGAAAUCCGGCCGCUCAGGCUCAUAUUGAAGACAUAUUGAAGCAAUCCGCACCAAUUCAGUUCCGUCAUCUGUAGAAAAUUGACCUUCCAAGCAAGAAUCAGUUAGCAUCUCAAGAUUCCGGUCUUUUAUGAGAUCCAGUGCCUGACAUAAGCGGAUACAUAUCAGAAGGAACAAAAGCACCGAAAAGAAUUGUGUUAAUUCUUGUAUUUUGAUAACCAUCUUUCAUCCUCAGUAAUUAUUUGAUAUAUGGAUACAUAUUAGAAGGAACAAAAGCACCGAAAAGAAUUGUGUUAAUUCUUGUAUUUUGAUAACCAUCUUUCAUCCUCAGUAAUUAUUUGAUAUAUUUCACCUAAACUCUUGAAAAAUGUAAAUCACAAUACUUCGGUUUCAGUACACAUCUUAAGUAAGAUGGAAGCCACCCCAGCCUUUUUAAAAUUAGAUGUCCGAUUUUAACAAUUUUGCCAAGAUUUUGUAGCACACUUAUCAUCAUGUUUUCUCGUCAGGAUUAAGUGUGAGCAAUAUGGUUGUAGGGGUCACUUAAUCAAGAAAUAAAUAAAUAAGUUUGGCAGGAAAACCAUACAUGGCUAGGAGGGAUGUGUUUUCCACUGAGAAGGUCAAGCAAAAGUGUCCCGAAGCUAAAUAUCACACUCUCCGGGGUGAUUCUUCCUGCAAAGUUCAAAUAACUGAGUGAACAAACUAUAACAAGUUCAAUAAUUCAAGAAAGGUGGGUGAUUAUUCCUACAAAAGUUCAAAUAACUGAGUGAACUAUAACAAGUUCAAUAAUUAAAGAAAGGAUAAAUGUAAUUAACACCAUAAAUUCAAUGAACCCUCCACAUUGAAUGGAUUGUAACAAGGUACACGAACACCAUAAUGGUCAAAGUGGAUCCUUUUUUUAAAUAAGUGAAAGUAGCUCAUACGAAACAUUCCCCUUAAUCUUGUAAAUAGAAAAGUGUUAACAACUAAAGUGUUACAAAAGUAGAACAUCAAGCAGCUUAGCUGGCUGUGGUUGUUUAGAGUGUGAAUCAUUAGACAUGAAAGAACAACUGUGCCUUAAGAUGGCCGCGUUUGUUUAUUAAGGUAGCUCUUACCCAUUCUCAAAUAUUCAGGAGAUGCCAAGUUUGUGCAAUAACUUUUCCAAUAUUGACUGUUCGCCAUCAAAGGAAAACAAGAGAGUCGAGGAUCACCAUCCUGUGAAAUAUACAGAGGAGACCCUAAUAGGCAUUUGAGUACUUGAAUUGUGAAAUUUACCAAUACUAACAAACAAUGAAAAGAAUGAAGAUGCAACAAUCAACUUACUUCAUCGAAUAAUAUUCUAUAAGCAUUAAGAUCAAGAUAAAGAGGAAGCCCUUUGCCUGUAACAUGAUAAAAAGCGCGCCCUGCGCUUGUACAAUACUCAAGAGCCUGUGCAGUAUACAAGGCCACCCUUAACCGCAUUGCCCACUUCAUUGGUUGUGUGUCCCCUGAGUUAAUUUCUCACAGAUGAGUCGAUUGAAUUUCAUUAAUCAUUAUUGAAGAAUAUGUUAUAUUUUGAAGGAAAUUCAUGACUUUUCAGUUUUCCUUAAAGCAAUUAAAUCAAAUAGGUAUCCCAUCAUCAAAUCUCAUUUUCCACCUGCCAUAAUUUCUCUCUAGGUGAAGUUUGGAUAAGCUCAUGGUCAGGUUCUACUCUUCAAAUUCUUCACAAUUACUAACCAUGCGAAAAAGUAAAAAAAUGGAGAAAAAAAGGAAAGGUAUCAAGUUUAACUUUUCCAAAUUGAUUAACCUCAUCUGUUUCUUUGAUUUCCAUUUUUUAUCAUUUUCUUACUUGCUUAUCUUCCUUUCUUGAUGUUGUAGUGCACUUUCUCUCUCCCCUCUUUAUACAAUGGUCACCUCACCCUCCCCCCUUCUCUCUCUCCUCCCCCCGUCGCCUUCCGCCCCUCUUCCCACUCCGGCGACCUGCUACUGCCGGAGAUCCGGCGACUUCAUUACGGCCGGUGACGUCCCACGGUAAGCUCUUAUCCACUUCUCUCUCUCUCUCUAAUUCCCUCCCCACCCCAGCCCUCUAAAUCCGGCNNNNNNNNNNNNNNNNNNNNNNNNNNNNNNNNNNNNNNNNNNNNNNNNNNNNNNNNNNNNNNNNNNNNNNNNNNNNNNNNNNNNNNNNNNNNNNNNNNNNNNNNNNNNNNNNNNNNNNNNNNNNNNNNNNNNNNNNNNNNNNNNNNNNNNNNNNNNNNNNNNNNNNNNNNNNNNNNNNNNNNNNNNNNNNNNNNNNNNNNNNNNNNNNNNNNNNNNNNNNNNNNNNNNNNNNNNNNNNNNNNNNNNNNNNNNNNNNNNNNNNNNNNNNNNGAGUCAGGCAGCCCCCAGCCCCGCGUUUUUGUGUGGGGUGUUGUGUGUGUGUUUUUCAGUUACUAGUCGCGGCAGAUGAGGCGAGCUUGCGACGUUUGGAAGUAAAGAGCGAAGCAACAUCAGCCGGGACGUGCAAGAGUUGGCAGUAGUUGACCUCGAGCGCAUCAAAGCUUACUUCCAGGUUUUUCUUUCACCGGGAGUUGGUACCUCCUGGUCUCUUACUUACUGUGUGCACUUUCUAUGUAUUCUAGCUAACAUCCUCUGUGAGGUUUAUUCUAUUGCUAUCUAGCUAGCUUCCUUUCCCGUGUUCUGCUAAACUUCAUGUGCGCGUCCCUGUUUACCGUAGUCCGGUGGAGGGAUAGUGGUGGCGGCGGGGAAUGGUAGUGUAAGGUCAUGUCCUCGGGGGGUGGGGGUGGUGAACAAGGUGGCAGGGAGCGGUUCUGUAGGUGGGAAGGGGAUAGCGGUCGCUCGUAGAUUGAGGAUCGGGUUGUGGAACAUAGGCACCCUGACGGGUAAGUCCAUUGAGUUGGUGAAGAUUCUUCAAAAGAGGAGUGUCAGCAUAGCUUGUGUGCAGGAGACUAGAUGGAAAGGGUCGAAGGCGAGGAAUGUAGACGGGUUUAAGCUGCAGUAUUCUGGGGUCGUGAGGGGCAAGAAUGGAGUGGGUAUCUUGGUGAAUAGGGAUCUUAGGGAGUUCGUGGUUGAGGUUAGGCGAGUGAAUGAUAGGUUAAUGUCCAUUAAGGUUGUUAUUGGUGGGUGCGUCCUCAAUGUCAUCAGCGCUUACGUGCCGCAAGUAGACUUAAAUGAGGAGGUUAAGAGGCGCUUUUGGGAGGGAUUGGACAAGCUGGUGAGUAGUAUUGCCCAAUUUGAGAAGUUAGUUAUUGGAGGGGAUUUUAAUGGUUUGGGGCUGGGGCUGGUGGUUAUGGUGAGGUGCAUGGUGGCUUUGGCCUUGGGGUAAGGAACGGAGGAGGUACUGCACUGCUUGAUUUCGCCAAGGCUUUCGAGUUGUUGAUUGCGAACUCGUCAUUUCAGAAGAGGGAGGAGCAUUUGGUUACUUUCAAGAGUUCGAGGCCGCGUACUCAGACUGAUUACCUCCUCCUCAGAAGGAGCGAUAGAGGGUUGUGCAAGGACUGCAAGGAUAUCCCGGGAGAGUCCAUUUCGACUCUUCAUAGACUCUUAGUGUUGGAUGUCGGUCUCUGGGUGAAGAGGAAGAGGAGGGGCGCUCGGGGCCGGACGCAGAUUAGAUGGGAAGCUUUGACUAAGGAGAAAGCCCAGGAGUUGGAGAGGAGGUUAGUUGAGGGUGGAGCUUGGAGUAGUUCUGGGGAAGCAGAGCAAUAUGGUGAGAGACGGCGAACUUGGUUAGGGAGGCAGUGCGGGAUGUGCUCGGGGUAGCCAGGGGCUUUUCAGGCAGACAUCAAGGUGACUGGUGGUGGAACGAGGUAGUCCAAGGAAAAGUGGAGGCGAAGAAGGCUGCAUUUGCUAAGUUGGCGGGGAGCACAAAAGAAGACGAAAGGAGAGCAAACAGGGAGAGCUACAAGGCGGCGAGGAAGGAAGCGAAGCUGGCGGUCAUGGAAGCUAAAAAUGCGGCGCUUGGUUGCAUGUACGAGGAAUUGGGGGAGAAAAGGGGGAACAGGAAGUUGUUCAGGUUAGCUAAAUUAAAGGAGAGGAGGGCGCGGGAUCUAGACCAAGUUAGGUGCAUCAAGGACGAGGACGGGAGAGUUCUGAUAGGGGAGUCCUAAGUCAAGUAGAGGUGGCAGACUUACUUCCGAGACCUGCUUAACGAGGAGGGGGAUCGAGACAUAGAGCUAGGGGAGCUGGGGAAUUCAGCGUGUCAUAGAGAUAUUGGGUACUGCAGGCGCAUUAGGGUGGAGGAGGUUGUGGGGGCUUUGCGUAGGAUGAGUAUGGGUCGAGCGACCGGGCCAGACGAAAUCCCGGUGGAGUUCUGAAAAUGCAUGGGUAGGACAGGAGUGGAGCGGCUAUCCAGGUUGUUCAAUGUGAUCUUCAGGACUAAGACGAUGCCGGAGAGUGGAGGUGAAGCACAGUGGUGCCCUUGUAUAAGAACAAAGGGGAUAUCCAGUGUUGUAACAACUAUAAGGGUAUAAAAUUACUAAGCCAAACCAUGGAAGUCUGAGAGCGGGUGGUUGAGGCGAGGGUGAGGGAGAUGACAUCUAUAUCCGUAAACCAGUUCGGUUUUAUGCCGGGCCGCUCCACUACUGAAGCUAUCCACCUUGUUAGGAGAUUGGUGGAACAGCUCCGGGAUAAGAAGAAGGACCUACACAUGGUGUUUAUCGACUUGGAGAAGGCAUACGACAAGGUCCAAAGGGAGGUGUUAUGGAGGUGUCUGGAGGCGAAUAGCGUGCCGGAAGCCUAUAUCAGAGUGAUCAAGGACAUGUACGAUGGAGCUAAGAUUAGGGUUAGGACGGUGGGUGGUGACUGGCACCAUUUUCCGGUGGUUAUGGGGCUUUACCAAGGAUCUGUGCUUAGCCCUCUCUUAUUUGCUUUGGUGAUGGAUGCCCUAACAUGCAAUAUUCUAGGGGAUGUGCCAUGGUGUAUGCUAUUUGCUGAUGACAUAGUCUUGAUAGACGAGACGAGGGUCGGUAUUGAGGAGAGGUUGGAGGUCUGGAGACAGACUCUCGAGUCUAAGUGUUUCAAACUAAGUAGGUCAAAGACAGAAUACCUGGAGUGCAAGCUUAGCGCCAAGUCGAGCGAAGUAGGCAGGGAUGUGAAGCUUGGAUCUCAGGUCAUCGCAAGAGGGACAGUUUCAGAUAUCUGGGAUCGGUGAUUCAAGGGGACGGAGAGAUCGACGGGGAUGUCACCCACCAUAUAGGGGUGGGGUGGUAAAAUGGAGGCUUGCAUCAGGAGUCUUGUGUGAAAAGAAAGUACCGCAGUAACUCAAGGGAAAGUUUUAUAGAGCUAUGGUUAGACCUGCCAUGUUGUAUGGAGCGGAGUGUUGGCCGGUAAAAAACUCUCAUGUUCAGAGAAUGAAGGUUGCGGAGAUGAGGAUGGUUAGGUGGAUGUGCGGGCUCACCAGGUACGAUAAGAUUAAGAAUGGAGUUAUUCGAGAAAAGGUGGGGUGACUCCAAUGGAUGAGAAGAUGCGGGAAGCGAGACUCAGGUGGUUUGGGCAUGUGCAGAGGAUAAGCCCCGAUGCCCCGGUGAGGAAUUGUGAGCAGCUGACAGUAGUUGGUGCGAGUGGAGGUAGAGGGAGGCCCAAGAGGUAUUAGGGAGAGGUGAUUAGGCAGGACAUGGCUAGGUUGCAGAUUUCCAAGGACAUGGUCAGGGUUGCAGGAUAGGGACUUCUAAAAUUAUUUUCGUACUUCUUUCCCAGGGCUUNNNNNNNNNNNNNNNNNNNNNNNNNNNNNNNNNNNNNNNNNNNNNNNNNNNNNNNNNNNNNNNNNNNNNNNNNNNNNNNNGGGGGGGGGGGGGGUCAGUAGGGCUCUCUAUUGAUGAUUUGUGUAUUGUAUUGUGCCUCCUAUUGCAUGCCAUUUUAUUUAUGGUUUAUAGUUUCUGUUUAGAUAAUUAUCUAUGUGAGCAUGAGAGUUCUUAUGGUAGUUACUGGUUGAUAAUAUUGCAUGCCAUUUUAUUUAUGGUUUAUAGUUUAUGUUUAUAUAAUUAUCUAUGUGAUUUUUGCUGGAGUUACUAACGCUCUUUUGUCUUUAUUUUUGUUUUUCUUUUCCUUUUCCUGAGCCGAGGGUCGAUUGGAAACAUUCUCUCUCCCCUUUCGGUAGGUGUAAGGCCUGCGUACAUAUUAUCCUUCCCAAACCCCACUUCAUGGGACUAUACUGGAUAGUUGUUGUUGUUGUUUGUUUCUUUGAUUUCAAUAUCAUAGUUAUUGCUUCUCUUCUUCCCUCUGUUCUUAAACUAACCCUAGCGGAAAGAGAAAGCAAGCAAUAGCAGACUAGCAAUGGCAGUGAUUUGGUCUGUGAGCAUUUGAAUUUGCAGUUAAACAAGAAAAGGGAUGAUUCUUGUGGACUGUAUAAGGAACUCCAUGUAUGGACAUGCUAGCAAGCAAACAAAAUCUCGCUUCAGAAUCUAAGCAAAUAUACCUGAGAACAAAUUAAGAAACCAAAGGGUAACUCUUUUAUAAAAGCAAAAGAAAUGGGAAGUGGUGUCUGGGCCCAGCUUGUGCGCAUCUCGACUAUUCCACCGAGUGCCCGCUACCUCCCACCAACACAGGUGCCAAGGUACCAGAUAAUUGUGCCCACUAAGGCUCAUGUUCUCAAAUUCAUUGACCACUAGACCACACCCUUGUGUGCAAAUGGUAAGUCAUUCUCUAUGAUGGAUACUAACAGAGAAAACCAUAAAAAGGAAACAGUAAGUCAGUCUCUAAAACAGAACAGUGCAUGAACCGAAGGCUUUGUUUGGGAAUUUCAGAACAAGGUCACAAAUUGGAUCUGCUCUUUUUGUCUGGCCAGAAUUGAAAAAGAAAGUCAAGGUGCAGUCUCGUCCCGCUUGAAGUUAUCAGUUAAGCCAAAAAUCCCUUCGAAAAUUAGUUCAGCAAAUCUAGUAUUCAACUAUUUAUCAAACAUAUUAUCAGUACACAAAAUAUGUUUUACCAAAGAACAAGUGGAGAAAGUAAAAAAAUCAAAAGAAAUGGUGAUACAUGUUUAUGAGCAUGUUUCUCCGUGAGCGAAAUAAAUCUGAAUUUCAUUCCCAGCCCCCCGGUCCCGGAGUGAAACCGCUCCUGAUGUAGGGAAACAAAAGUAUCUGUGUGGACGCACUUACAAUGAAAAAGAUGCUUUGCAAGUGUGUCAUUGGGAAUGAAGUCUGUAACCAGCAACCUCUCAUCACCCUCGCAGCAACAGCCAAGAAGAUUCACUAACCUAUUGUUGCGGAGUUGACCUACGAUCCUUGCUUCUUCCUGAAAUUUUCCAUAUGAAGAGAGAAAAUCAAGUUCGAAUCUAUAGCUUAACUAUGUUAAGCAUUUGUCAGUAGAUGAAACACGAGUUAGCUACAGGCGACAUAUAUAUUCAAAAAGAGUGCGAGCACUAAAAAGCAAAGCCUAUGGCAUGCAUUCAUUUCUCUAUUUCCAUUUUGUUGUUGAUGCAUCAGGUACAUAAUAUAAGAAGGAACCAAUAAUUUUUGGAAUUGGAACAAAGCCAGCCAAACACUUACUAAAAACUGCCGGGUAUCAGGCCACGCAGAUCUGUUGAAGCGUUUAAUAGCAACCGUCCUCUGGUUCUCCAGCUUUCCUUUAUAAACAACAUUUGGAGCUUUCUCACCAUGUUCCGAAACUAUAUUCUCUACAGAAAAUGCAGAUGUAGCUAUCCUGAGCUGCUCAAAUGUAAACUCUCGGAAUGCAGGCAAAUCACUAACUUCAUCUAUUUGCAGCAUGAGACCAGAUAAAAAUAGCACGUACAUUAAACACUGCAGGACGAAAGUGCUACAGAAAAGCUUAUAAUAAAAGAUAUACAUACCAGGACUUUGAGCCUCGUGAAUGGGGCCACUCUGUCCUGUCCAGUAAUAGAAGGCAAAUUUAGAAAAUUCACAGCCCAUGAUGCUACCAACUGGUUUAAAGCCUUAAGGCCAAUGGUAGCUUAGAGCUUGUAGCACAACCCAACUAAUCACACCUUCUGCAGCUCCAAAAUCUGCAGUUGGCUGCAAGAACCAGACGGUCAAUUCAAGUGUAUUCCACUUCUUAGAAGCAUGGAGGAGCCAGAAUUUUCACUAAGGGGAUUAAAAAUAUAAAGAAGUAAAUACACGAAUAGGUCAAGGGGAUUCAACAUCUAUUAUAUAUACACAAAAAUGGUUUUAACCUUAUAUAUAUAGUGUAGUUUUCUAGCGAAGAGGACUCAGAUAAACCUCCUUCGGCCACUAGCUCUGCCCAUACAUAGAAGAUAUCAAAGUUAUUGAAACUAGAAAUAGAAAGAUAGCCAAGUUUUAAAGAAGUGCAACAAAAUUUUCACCUAUUAAUAAUUCCCAUUGGAAUCUCCAAAUGCUUCCUCAUAUACACAACAGAAACUGUACGACAGCACUUUUUCAAAUCCAAAACUCAAAGAACUGCAUAGAAAUUUCAUAGUCAAAGCUGUGUCCCUAUGUGUUGUGUUAAAAAGAAAAUAUGCAAUACCAAACUAGAAUAUCAAUCAUUCAAAUACAUCUAUCUCAAUAAUAAACUAGUAAGAGUCGGCUAUAUGAAUCCUCUAUUUCCAUUCCACUCUAUUCAGGUCAAUUUUGUUCCAACAUCAGUACAAGACCAUGUACAUUUUAUUAAAUCAAGCAAAUAGCAUAAGGUUCAGAAUCAACAAAAGAAAGUACCUUUAGCAGCAAUGGGAAACACAACUUCCUCUGCAAAGCAACCAAUUCUGCCCCACCAAAAACUUCCUUUUCUGAAUCAACCAAAAAAGUUCAACACAACCUAAAGUCAUAGGUCAACCCAAGUCAAAAUCAAAGCUUAAUCCAUAAAAAAUCCACAUAAAAACACACAACCAAUAAAAACCCCAUAUACACAUAUACAUGUAUUUAUAGACUAACUCAAGAUAUCCAAGUAAAAAAUUAUGAAUUGACUAAAGGUUUGAAUGGCAUAAUUUUGAAAGAGUAACUGCAGUAUCAGAAAGACAAGAGGUGUUGCUGAUGGUAAGCAACCCCACUUCCAACCGAGAGGGUGCGAGUUCGAGUCUCCCAAGAGCAAGGUGGAAAGUUCUUGGAGGAAAUGAUGCCGGGGGUCUAUUUGGAAACAGCCUCUCUACCCAAGGAUGCGUACAUACUACCCUCCCCAGACCCCGUAAGUAGGAUUAUGCUGUUGUUGUUGUUGUUUGAUUCUUUUUUCAACCCAAGUUAAAAAUUAAAGCUUGAAGCUAAAUGCACCAAACCCCACAUACCAAAUACUUAAAAAAC